GAUGAAGAACGCAGCGAAAUGCGAUACUUGGUGUGAAUUGCAGAAUCCCGUGAACCAUCGAGUCUUUGAACGCAAGUUGCGCCCGAAGCCAUUAGGCCGAGGGCACGCCUGCCUGGGCGUCACACGUCGUUGCCCCCCCAUCUACUCCUUCGGGAUUGCGGGGGGCGGAUGAUGGCCUCCCGUGCGCCUCGCCGCGCGGUUGGCAUAAAUGCCAAGUCCUCGGCGACGCACGCCACGACAAUCGGUGGUUGCGAAACCUCGGUUGCCUGUCGUGUGCGGUCGUCGCGCAUCGAGGGCUCGAAAAAAUUGCCGGGCUUCGGCUCGACUUUCAACGCGACCCCAGGUCAGGCGGGGUUACCCGCUGAAUUUAAGCAUAUCAAUAAGCGGAGGA
rnacentral:misc_RNA from 1 species